GAUGAACGCUGGCGGCGUGCCUAAUACAUGCAAGUCGAGCGAACAGACGAGGAGCUUGCUCCUCUGACGUUAGCGGCGGACGGGUGAGUAACACGUGGAUAACCUACCUAUAAGACUGGGAUAACUUCGGGAAACCGGAGCUAAUACCGGAUAAUAUAUUGAACCGCAUGGUUCAAUAGUGAAAGACGGUUUUGCUGUCACUUAUAGAUGGAUCCUCGCCGCAUUAGCUAGUUGGUAAGGUAACGGCUUACCAAGGCAACGAUGCGUAGCCGACCUGAGAGGGUGAUCCGCCACACUGGAACUGAGACACGGUCCAGACUCCUACGGGAGGCAGCAGUAGGGAAACUUGCGCAAUGGGCGAAAGCCUGACCGAGCAACGCCGCGUGAGUGAAGAAGGUCUUCGGAUCGUAAAAAUCUGUUAUUAGGGAAGAACAAAAGUGUAAGUAACUAUGCACGUCUUGACGGUACCUAAUCAGAAAGCCACGGCUAACUACGUG
rnacentral:rRNA from 1 species